rnacentral:lncRNA from 1 species
GACAGACUGGAUCAAAGAGAGGAAAAAAGUCAAGGAGAACUCGCAGAGUAACUCACCUUGGUGCCCCUAAAAAAGGAUCCGAUCAGAACUGUUCAGGUCGAAUCUUCCUUGAGCGAUGAACUGAGAGAGAAGCUGAUCAACUUUUUGAGAAAGAAUGUAGAUGUAUUCGCCUAAUCUGUCUCAGACAUGUCAGGCAUCUCACCUGAUGU